rnacentral:rRNA from 1 species
AGGUAAGCUACUAAGAGCGAAUGGUGGAUGCCUUGACUGGUAAAGGCGAUGAAGGACGUACUAGACUGCGAUAAGCUACGGGGAGCUGUCAAGAAGCUUUGAUCCGUAGAUUUCCGAAUGGGGCAACCCAAUGUAUAGAGAUAUACAUUACCUAUAUAGGAGCGAACGAGGGGAAUUGAAACAUCUUAGUACCCUCAGGAAAAGAAAUCAAUAGAGAUUGCGUCAGUAGCGGCGAGCGAAAGCGCAAGAGGGCAAACCCAGUGCUUGCACUGGGGGUUGUAGGACUGCAAUGUGCAAGAGGUAAGUUUAGCAGAACAUUCUGGAAAGUAUAACCAUAGAGGGUGAUAGUCCCGUAUGCGAAAAACAAACCUUAGCUAGCAGUAUCCUGAGUAGGGCGGGACACGAGGAAUCCUGUCUGAAUCCGGGUCGACCACGAUCCAACCCUAAAUACUAAUACCAGAUCGAUAGUGCACAAGUACCGUGAGGGAAAGGUGAAAAGAACUGAGGUGAUCAGAGUGAAAUAGAACCUGAAACCAUUUGCUUACAAUCAUUCAGAGCCCUAUGUAGCAAUACAGGGUGAUGGACUGCCUUUUGCAUAAUGAGCCUGCGAGUUGUGGUGUCUGGCAAGGUUAAGCAAACGCGAAGCCGUAGCGAAAGCGAGUCUGAAUAGGGCGCUUAGUCAGAUGCUGCAGACCCGAAACGAAGUGAUCUAUCCAUGAGCAAGUUGAAGCUAGUGUAAGAACUAGUGGAGGACUGAACCCAUAGGCGUUGAAAAGCCCCGGGAUGACUUGUGGAUAGGGGUGAAAGGCCAAUCAAACUUCGUGAUAGCUGGUUCUCUCCGAAAUAUAUUUAGGUAUAGCGUUGUGUCGUAAUAUAAGGGGGUAGAGCACUGAAUGGGCUAGGGCAUACACCAAUGUACCAAACCCUAUCAAACUCCGAAUACCUUAUAUGUAAUCACAGCAGUCAGGCGGCGAGUGAUAAAAUCCGUCGUCAAGAGGGAAACAACCCAGACUACCAGCUAAGGUCCCUAAAUCUUACUUAAGUGGAAAACGAUGUGAAGUUACUUAAACAACCAGGAGGUUGGCUUAGAAGCAGCCAUCCUUUAAAGAAAGCGUAAUAGCUCACUGGUCUAGUGAUUUUGCGCGGAAAAUAUAACGGGGCUAAAGUAAGUACCGAAGCUGUAGACUUGCACACAACUUAGAUUAUUUAAGUUUAGAAUAUGAGAAACUAAGUUAUAUGUUUAGUUAUAUUUUUACUGAUUUUUAUAGAGUAAAGAUAGAAAUAAAACUUAGUAAAAUCAGUAAAAAUAUUCUUAGACUAAAGUUAAGUAGUUUAAGUUGUGUGCAAGUGGUAGGAGAGCGUUCUAUUUGCGUCGAAGGUAUACCGGUAAGGAGUGCUGGAGCGAAUAGAAGUGAGCAUGCAGGCAUGAGUAGCGAUAAUUAAUGUGAGAAUCAUUAACGCCGUAAACCCAAGGUUUCCUACGCGAUGCUCGUCAUCGUAGGGUUAGUCGGGUCCUAAGUCGAGUCCGAAAGGGGUAGACGAUGGCAAAUUGGUUAAUAUUCCAAUACCAACAUUAGUGUGCGAUGGAAGGACGCUUAGGGCUAAGGGGGCUAGCGGAUGGAAGUGCUAGUCUAAGGUCGUAGGAGGUUAUACAGGCAAAUCCGUAUAACAAUACUCCGAGAACUGAAAGGCUUUUUGAAGUCUUCGGAUGGAUAGAAGAACCCCUGAUGCCGUCGAGCCAAGAAAAGUUUCUAAGUUUAGCUAAUGUUGCCCGUACCGUAAACCGACACAGGUGGGUGGGAUGAGUAUUCUAAGGCGCGUGGAAGAACUCUCUUUAAGGAACUCUGCAAAAUAGCACCGUAUCUUCGGUAUAAGGUGUGGUUAGCUUUGUAUUAGGAUUUACUCCGAAAGCAAGGAAACUUACAACAAAGAGUCCCUCCCGACUGUUUACCAAAAACACAGCACUCUGCUAACUCGUAAGAGGAUGUAUAGGGUGUGACGCCUGCCCGGUGCUCGAAGGUUAAUUGAUGGGGUUAGCAUUAGCGAAGCUCUUGAUCGAAGCCCGAGUAAACGGCGGCCGUAACUAUAACGGUCCUAAGGUAGCGAAAUUCCUUGUCGGUUAAAUACCGACCUGCAUGAAUGGCGUAACGAGAUGGGAGCUGUCUCAAAGAGGGAUCCAGUGAAAUUGUAGUGGAGGUGAAAAUUCCUCCUACCCGCGGCAAGACGGAAAGACCCCGUGGACCUUUACUACAGCUUGACACUGCUACUUGGAUAAGAAUGUGCAGGAUAGGUGGGAGGCUUUGAGUAUAUGACGCCAGUUGUAUAUGAGCCAUUGUUGAGAUACCACUCUUUCUUAUUUGGGUAGCUAACCAGCUUGAGUUAUCCUCAAGUGGGACAAUGUCUGGUGGGUAGUUUGACUGGGGCGGUCGCCUCCCAAAUAAUAACGGAGGCUUACAAAGGUUGGCUCAGAACGGUUGGAAAUCGUUCGUAGAGUAUAAAGGUAUAAGCCAGCUUAACUGCAAGACAUACAAGUCAAGCAGAGACGAAAGUCGGUCUUAGUGAUCCGGUGGUUCUGUGUGGAAGGGCCAUCGCUCAAAGGAUAAAAGGUACCCCGGGGAUAACAGGCUGAUCUCCCCCAAGAGCUCACAUCGACGGGGAGGUUUGGCACCUCGAUGUCGGCUCAUCGCAUCCUGGGGCUGGAGCAGGUCCCAAGGGUAUGGCUGUUCGCCAUUUAAAGCGGUACGCGAGCUGGGUUCAGAACGUCGUGAGACAGUUCGGUCCCUAUCUGCCGUGGGCGUAAGAAGAUUGAAGAGAUUUGACCCUAGUACGAGAGGACCGGGUUGAACAAACCACUGGUGUAGCUGUUGUUCUGCCAAGAGCAUCGCAGCGUAGCUAAGUUUGGAAAGGAUAAACGCUGAAAGCAUCUAAGCGU